rnacentral:rRNA from 1 species
AUUGAACGCUGGCGGCAGGCCUAACACAUGCAAGUCGAGCGGAUGAGUGGAGCUUACUCCACGAUUCAGCGGCGGACGGGUGAGUAAUGCCUAGGAAUCUGCCUGGUAGUGGGGGACAACGUUUCGAAAGGAACGCUAAUACCGCAUACGUCCUACGGGAGAAAGCAGGGGACCUUCGGGCCUUGCGCUAUCAGAUGAGCCUAGGUCGGAUUAGCUUGUUGGUGAGGUAAUGGCUCACCAAGGCGACGAUCCGUAACUGGUCUGAGAGGAUGAUCAGUCACACUGGAACUGAGACACGGUCCAGACUCCUACGGGAGGCAGCAGUGGGGAAUAUUGGACAAUGGGCGAAAGCCUGAUCCAGCCAUGCCGCGUGUGUGAAGAAGGUCUUCGGAUUGUAAAGCACUUUAAGUUGGGAGGAAGGGCAGUCAGCGAAUACCUGAUUGUUUUGACGUUACCGACAGAAUAAGCACCGGCUAACUCUGUGCCAGCAGCCGCAGUAAGAC